AAUUAAUGAGCUUGAAUAAGCAUAUGUUUUGAAAGCAUAAUAUAAAGGUUUAAUCCUUUAUUAAUUU
rnacentral:tRNA from 1 species